GAAAAUCUCAACUUUAUGGCCAUUGGUAAGCGGAAGAAGGCAAAGCUAACACUCCGUGGUUUUUAUAGAUUUUCUUCAGAGUUGCUUUUGCAGCUUGUCUUCAUUGUUUUAAUGAGACCACUUUAUACUGAACUAAGGCCUUUGAGAUAGUAAAGUUUGGAGCGGGAAAGCAUUUAGUUUCGUUCUUUGAAAAAGAGCCUGUGUGCACCGAUUUUUAUGUUAACCAUUGGAAGAGUUAGAUAUAAGGAGAAAGCUUGUUACUUCUUUUUUUAAGUUUAUUUAUUUUGAGAGUGAGAACGAGUCAGGUAGAGGGGCAGAGAGAGAGAGGGAAAGAGAGAGAAUCUCAAGCAGGUUCCAUGCUGUCAGCACAGAGCCCGACACAGGGCUCAAUCCCACAAACCAUGAGGUUAUGACUUGAGCCGAAAUCAAGAGUCAAAUGCUUAACUGACUGAGCCACCCAAGCACCCUGAAAGCUUGUCACUUCUAACAAGUGCCUUAAAUGGUCUUUUUCCCCUUCUGUGCUCCCUGAUCUUUUCAGCCUCAAUGAAGUGCUGUUUCCUGGUCCCCUACAGGUUUCACAGAUGGCAGUGUUACAUUGAACAAAGGAGACAUCACACGGGACCGGCAUAGCAAGACCCAGAUUCUGCACAAGGGCAACUAUCCUGUUACUGGACUGGCGUUUCGCCAAGCGGGAAAGACCACUCAUUUGUUUGUUGUGACAACUGAGAAUGUUCAGGUAUGAUGGGGGCCUGCACUGUUAGGGGCAGGCAAGAAAGGGGCCUACGAUAAGGAAAUGAUGAGAGGCAGGGUUCUUAAACUCUUCAUCAUGUAGCCUUGAGUCAUUUGCCCAGCUUAAUGUUUUAUUUUUUCACUUAAGAGGCAAGGAAGAGUCAGAGUUAGGAAAAGAACAAUGGGCUUGUAGUGAAAGACCUGCUUUUUUUCCCCUAACUUGUUAAGUAACAUCGGACAAGUUAUUUUACUUUGUUGGUGUCUGAUGCUCUUAAUUUCUAACAGUCUACUCCCAAGUAUGGUCUUGGUAAAAGUUCAAAAUUAUUGCAUUUCUUGUAGUGGCAGUUUUCCUGUAGUUAGUGCCCAUACACACAGAGGGAGAAAAUGUGGGUGAUGGUAAUGGACAAAGCAAGGAGCCAGGGAAAGUGUUAGGGUGCUAAGAGUCAAAAAGAAAGAGAGCCAGUAUGGAGAUGGGAAUACCUUUGGGAAGGCUUAGAUGCCCCCUCCUGAAAGGGAGCCUGUUAACGCCUUUCUUCUUGCAGUCCUAUAUAGUUUCUGGAAAGGACUACCCUCGUGUGGAGUUGGACACCCAUGGUUGUGGCCUGCGCUGCUCAGCUCUAAGCGACCCUUCUCAGGACCUGCAGUUCAUAGUGGCUGGAGACGAAUGUGUCUACUUGUACCAGCCUGAUGAACGUGGGCCCUGCUUUGCCUUCGAGGGCCAUAAACUCAUUGCUCACUGGUUUAGAGGCUACCUUGUCAUUGUCUCCCGUGACCGGAAGGUUUCUCCCAAGUAAGGACUCCAGGGGGAAGGGAAAGGGAGAAGGCUCCACUUGUUCGCCAGAAUUAGCAUGAUUUUAAAAUCCUAAUACCCCAAUCCUGUCAGUCUGCUACUUUGGUUUUCUGUACAUUGUCCUCACACUUAGAUUCAGUUGUAACAUUUUUACUGAAAAAAUGUAUUUUUGCUACAGGUAUUUGCUAAGUGCCCUAGAACGCCCCAGGGAAUUUUUGACCUGUUUUUGUUUUUUUUUACUCUUUAGUCAAAACACACUGGGUGGCGGAACAAGGAAAUGAACAGUGGAGAAGCUAUAAAGGGCUGGGGAAUGCAGGACACAGUAUUUUUAUUCUGAGCCACCUGAAAAGGGGUGGCAGGCUCUUCCUCAUGAUGGAAAUGAUCCGUGUCAGUGUUUAUCUUCAGUCAGCACUAAGCGCAGUAUCUCACAUAUACCAGGGGCUAAUUAUAUGAAUGGGUGUUUGGAUGUUCUUAAUUUUUUAAGCCACCCCUUAUGUUAAUGGUAGGAUCCUGAAAGGUACGAUCAGGUCUAUGUGUUCUCUUCCUACAACUGCCCAUGCAAUGCUGCAUUUAUGGGAUAUGCUGCUAGAGGGGCCAGAGGGUGAUUUGUUCUGGGCAGAGUAGGCAGCACCAAAGUUGUCAUGGAAAGAGGAGCUGGUGCAAAUAGCCGGUGCUUUUUCUUUCCCACACAGGUCAGAGUUUACCAGUAGGGACUCCCAGAGCUCCGACAAGCAGAUCCUCAACAUCUACGACCUGUGCAACAAGUUCAUAGCCUAUAGUGCCGUCUUUGAGGACGUAGUGGACGUUCUUGCUGAGUGGGGCUCCCUGUACGUGCUGACGCGGGAUGGGCGGGUCCACGCGCUGCAGGAGAAGGACACACAGACCAAACUGGAGGCAAGGCCACCAGAUUUCCAGAGCUGGCCACGGGCACCCAGACGCAGGUGUAGGAACAGGCUCCUCUUGGAGGCCAAGUCACCUUGGCCAGGGUGUUUCCUUCCCUUUGGGGCACAGCCUUACCUAGCUCCUUUAGGGCCGAAUUACAAGGUAAAUGGCCUGGGAUGAGGUUUUAAGAGUAAAGUAAUGGCUGAGAGCCUGAGUCCACUCUCAGGGUCCAUUCUGUCCGCAGAGAGCCUUGGAAAGUAAGGCCAUGUUGGACUUCGGGGUAUCUGAGAGGUCUUGCCCUGUCUAGGAUCUAGGCAGAUCAGAAAUCCAGGACCGUCUGGCUUGUGUGUUGUAGCUGCUUUCUGGUAGGGUGUCUCCUGAGGACUGCUUCUAGUAAUUUUCUAAUCUCUCUCCCCUUGCAGAUGCUGUUUAAGAAGAACCUAUUUGAAAUGGCCAUUAACCUGGCCAAGAGCCAGCACCUAGAUAGUGAUGGGUUGGCCCAGAUCUUCAUGCAGUAUGGGGACCAUCUCUACAGCAAGGGCAACCACGAUGGGGCUGUUCAACAGUAUAUCCGGUUAGUCUUGGGUGCUUUAGGAUAUAGCUCUGAAUGCAGCCAGAUAGACUAACACCUAGGCUUGGGUUAGGAGAGUGGACUCCACCAAAAGGAGCCAUUCUUUUUCCCUGCAGAAACUGUGAUGGCCUGGGUGAGAAGUUGGUACAGUUCACCGUAAAGGGAACAUUUAGGGUCAAAUAUUACAUGACCAGGGUGCAGUGGAGCUGAUGAGUAUCUCUUGUUUUAAACCUUAUUUUGUUUUUACCUGUGUAUCUAUAUUUUUUAAGUAGGCUUCACACCCAAUGUGAGGCUUGAACUCACAACCCAGAGAUCAAGAGUUACAUGCUCUACUGACAGAGCCAGCCAGGUACCCGUUCUUGUUUAGGCUGGCCUUUGUUACUAUUCAUUUUUGGGGCACCUGGCUGGCACAGUUGGUAGAGCACACGACUCUUGAUUUCAGCAUCAUGAGUUCAAGUCCCACAUUGGGCACAAAGCUUAGUUUAAAAAAAAAAAAUUCAUUUUGAUCUGAUUUGUUUGUUUGUUUCUUUUGAGAGACACAGCACAAGUGGGGGAGGGGCAGAGAGAUGAGGACAGAGGAUCUGAAGCGGGCUCUGCACUGGCAGCAGAGAGCCCGAUGGGGGGCUCAAACUCAUGAACCAUGAGAUCAUGACCUGAGCCAAAGGCAGACACUUAACCGACUGAGCUACCCAGGCGCCCCUUGAUUUGAUUCUUUAAAGGGAAAGGGUAUUCAUCUCUUGGCUUCUACAGUUUCUUCCCUUGAAGAAACCCUAAUUCUUGAAAUUUUCUGCCCUACUAAGAGGUGGUGUGAACCUGUCUGGCCUCUCUACCUUUCUAGAAUUCCUAUCUUCAGCCAUAUUUAAGAACCAGUGCUGUGUUAGCCUUGCAUCUCAUGUGGUCUGCAGUCUAGUAGCAUUGAUAUCAUCCAGGUCUUGUUAGAAAUACAGAUUCACAGGCCUCCCCCCAGACGUGCUGAGGAUCUGCAAGUGAUGCCUAGGCACAUGAAAGAGAAGUACGCUGAUCCAGAUGCUGUUUGAUGCACGUGUCUCUCUAGAACCAUUGGAAAGUUGGAGCCAUCCUAUGUGAUCCGCAAGUUUCUGGAUGCCCAGCGCAUCCACAACCUGACCGCCUACCUACAGACCCUGCACCGGCAGUCCCUGGCCAAUGCUGACCACACUACCCUGCUGCUCAACUGCUAUACCAAGCUCAAGGACAGUUCGAAGCUAGAGGAGUUCAUCAAGGUGCAGGGUGGUGGUGGUGGUGGUGGUAGAUUCCCCGAGGGCCCCACUGAGCGGGAGGUGGCUUUACCAGGGUUUGCCCCUUUUUCAGCAGAUGCAGGGAGAAGAAAGGGCUCACCUUAUUUGGGGACCAGGACCCUCUGGUCUAUAAACUGGGAAGAGGAAUAGCCUUUCCUGCUAGUUCUCUCCCGUCUCCCUCUUGUUUUUUGAUGCUUGAACUUUUGAGGGUAUGUAAGCUCAGGGAAUUAACAGUGGUGGGCCCCUGGGUCCCCAGAGGUGUCCCUGUAAUAGUAGGGGAAGAGGAAGACUUUAGCUCUUAAAACCUUACUGAGAAGUAGGAGAACCUAGUGUUUUAAAACCAUGGACUUUCUUUAAUUUUUUUUUUUUGUCUCCAACCCUCCCGGCCUCAACUUUAUUGUUAUCUUAAGAAUCUGUCAGGGGGCACCUGGCUGGCUCAGUUGGUAGAACAUGCAAAUCUAGAUCUCCAGGUCGUGAGUUCAAGCCCCACAUUGGGCCUAGAGUUUGUGUUAAAAAAAAAAAAAAAAAAAAGAAUCUGGUCUCAGAUGCAGGUUUCCUCUCCCUUCCCCAACCACAACCUUUCUGUGAAUGAUUUUGUCUGACGUCUCCCUGGCAGACCAAGAGUGAGAGCGAAGUCCACUUUGAUGUGGAGACAGCCAUCAAGGUCCUCCGGCAGGCUGGCUACUACUCCCAUGCCCUCUACUUGGCUGAGAACCAUGCACAUCAUGAGUGGUACUUAAAGAUUCAGCUAGAGGACAUUAAAGUAAGUGAGACUCUUGACCCAGACAGAGACCUGUUCUUUUUCCAGGACAUCCCCGGAAUGAUGAAAGUACUUCCUGGUGGGAAGGCAGGAGCAUGCGCUUACUCUGCCCUUACCUCUCCACAGAAUUAUCAGGAAGCCCUUCGGUACAUCGGCAAGCUGCCUUUUGAGCAGGCAGAGAGCAACAUGAAACGCUAUGGCAAGAUCCUCAUGCACCACAUACCAGAGCAGACGACCCAGUUGCUGAAGGGACUGUGUACCGACUAUCAGCCUAGCCUCGAAGGCCGAGGUGACAGGGAGGCUCCAGGCUGCAGGGUGAGACGUCAAGGAGAAUGGCUUUUGGACAACAGGGAUCACUUCCGGGGCCUCAUGGAUACCACACCCACUCACUCGGCCUCCUCUCUCCUCCCUUGCCAUCCUAGGCCAACUCAGAGGAGUUCAUCCCCAUCUUUGCCAACAACCCUCGAGAGUUGAAAGCUUUCCUAGAACACAUGAGUGAAGUACAGCCUGACUCCCCGCAGGGCAUCUAUGACACACUCCUCGAGCUGCGGCUACAGAACUGGGCCCAUGAGAAAGAUCCACAGGUGAGGCCUGGCGAAAGCUGCAGCAGAUGCUGGAGAAAAGACAGCUCUUCCAUCUUUUGUGGUUGCCUUUUGCUGCAUUCUUUAGACCAGUGACCCCUCACCCUUGGGGGCUAACUGGUUCCUCCGUGAAGAGGCGAUCGAAGAGGCAGUUGACUUGCCUUGUCACAAGAGAGCUUUGUGAUUUUUUUCCCCCUUAUGCCCAGCAACUCUACCCUCCUUCCCUAGGUCAAAGAGAAGCUUCAUGCAGAGGCCAUCUCCCUGCUGAAGAGCGGCCGCUUCUGCGACGUCUUUGACAAGGCCCUGGUCCUCUGCCAGAUGCACGACUUCCAGGAUGGGGUCCUUUACCUCUAUGAGCAGGGGAAGCUGUAAGAUUUGGGGCAGCUUCAGGGAAGGGGGAGGAUCCGGUUUUCCAGGGACAGCCACUGAGGUGCGCCUUGCCCCGGCCCCAGGUUCCAGCAGAUCAUGCACUACCACAUGCAGCAUGAGCAGUACCGGCAGGUGAUUGCUGUGUGCGAGCGCCACGGGGAGCAGGAGCCGUCCCUGUGGGAGCAGGCACUCAGCUACUUUGCCCGCAAGGAGGAGGACUGCAAGGAGUAUGUGGCGGCCGUGCUCAAGCACAUCGAGAGCAAGAACCUCAUGCCACCGCUUCUAGGUACUUCAGAGGGCGGUAGGGAGGGGUGCAGGCUGCCCACAGCUCUGGGGCAGGGGCGCUUCCAUUCUAUCGAGAGGGUGCUGCUCGGUUCACUGUCUUGUUUCCUUCCGGGCCCAAUCUCAGUGGUGCAGACUCUGGCCCACAACUCCACAGCCACCCUGUCUGUCAUCCGGGACUACCUGGUCCAAAAACUACAGAAACAGAGCCAGCAGAUUGCACAGGACGAGCUCCGGGUGCGACGGUACCGAGAGGAGACCACCCGCAUCCGCCAGGAGAUCCAGGAGCUCAAGGCGAGGUACUUGGCGACUAGAUAUGUGGAGGGGGGAUAAUCUUGUUCUUCACUGGGUGUCAUUAAAUACUUUUCAUAGAGGAUUGUAUGAAAAUAUGUUCAAACUUUGCAUUUUUGAAGAUCUGUUUUAAUGGAAGAAUUCCAAAGAAUGGUUUAUUCCAUAGAUCGUUAUUUAUUAGGUUUUUGGAGGAUGUUAACUUGCAGCAGGUGUUUUUCUUUUUAUGAGUCUGUAUUUUUUUCUAAAGACACAUUUUUUUUUUUUUUUUUUUUUUUAAGAGAGGGAAAGGGAGACAGGGCGAGAGCAGGGGAGGGCUGUGAGAUCAUGACCUGAGCUAAAAUCAGGAGUCAGAUGGCAAGCACUGAUCUU
rnacentral:lncRNA from 1 species